rnacentral:misc_RNA from 1 species
GAAAUGCGAUAAGUAGUGUGAAUUGCAGAAUUCAGUGAAUCAUCGAAUCUUUGAACGCACAUUGCGCCUCCUGGUAUUCCGGGAGGCAUGCCUGUUCGAGCGUCAUUAAAACCAACUCAAGCUCUUUUGCUUGGUCCUGAUGGAAGAGUGUCAACUUUACGUGUCCUCCCCAUCGAAAUCAAAAGGCGGAUAGCCCUGUGUACCAAGCAGCGUCAUAAGUUAACUCUUUCGCCUUGUUCAUGGUGCCGUCCAGCCACAAACCCCCAAUGUAAUCUAAAGGUUGACCUCGGAUCAGGUAGGGAUACCCGCUGAACUUAA